rnacentral:rRNA from 1 species
UACGUAGGGGGCUAGCGUUGUCCGGAAUCAUUGGGCGUAAAGAGCGUGUAGGCGGUCCGGUAAGUCCGCUGUGAAAGUCGGGGGCUCAACCCUCGAAUGCCGGUGGAUACUGUCGGGCUAGAGUGCGGAAGAGGCGAGUGGAAUUCCUGGUGUAGCGGUGAAAUGCGCAGAUAUCAGGAGGAACACCAAUUGCGAAGGCAGCUCGCUGGGACGUAACUGACGCUGGAGACGCGAAAGCGUGGGGAGCAAACAGG